AACCAAAGUGUUGAGCCUAGUUCAGGGCUGCUUCCCUGUUCUGGUAAUUCAACUUUGGGACAUUAAAACCAGGUCUGAGAGGGAUGAUUGGGUAGAAGGUAUGGUUCUAUUCAUUUUCCUCCUCGCCUACAAAA